rnacentral:rRNA from 1 species
UUUAUAGCCUCUGGCUAUAGGAAAUUGUUAGUGGCAGACGGGUGAGUAAUGCGUAGGAAUCUACCUAGUAGAACGGAAUAGCCAUUAGAAAUGGUGGGUAAUACUGUAUAAUCCCCGAGGGGGAAAGAUUUAUCGCUAUUAGAUGAGCCUACGUUAGAUUAGCUAGUUGGUGAGGUAAUGGCUUACCAAGGCUGUGAUCCAUAGCUGGUCUGAGAGGACGAUCAGCCACACUGGAACUGAGAUACGGUCAGACUCCUACGGGAGGCAGCAGUGGGGAAUAUUGGACAAUGGGCGAAAGCCUGAUCCAGCUAUGCCGCGUGAGUGAAGAAGGCCUUCGGGUUGUAAACUCUUUCAAUAGGGAAGAUAAUGACGGUACCUAUAGAAGAAGUCCCGGCAAACUCUGAGCCAGCAGCCGCGGUAAUACGGAGGGGGCAAGCGUUGUUCGGAAUUAUUGGGCGUAAAGGGCACGUAGGUGGACUAGUAAGUUAAAAGUG